CCUACGGGAGGCUGCAGUGGGGAAUAUUGCACAAUGGGCGCAAGCCUGAUGCAGCCAUGCCGCGUGUGUGAAGAAGGCCUUCGGGUUGUAAAGCACUUUCAGCGGGGAGGAAGGCGUUAAGGUUAAUAACCUUGGCGAUUGACGUUACCCGCAGAAGAAGCACCGGCUAACUCCGUGCCAGCAGCCGCGGUAAUACGGAGGGUGCAAGCGUUAAUCGGAAUUACUGGGCGUAAAGCGCACGCAGGCGGUCUGUCAAGUCGGAUGUGAAAUCCCCGGGCUCAACCUGGGAACUGCAUUCGAAACUGGCAGGCUAGAGUCUUGUAGAGGGGGGUAGAAUUCCAGGUGUAGCGGUGAAAUGCGUAGAGAUCUGGAGGAAUACCGGUGGCGAAGGCGGCCCCCUGGACAAGGACUGACGCUCAGGUGCGAAAGCGUGGGGAGCAAACAGGAUUAGAUACCCGAGUAGUC
rnacentral:rRNA from 1 species